UGGGGGAUAUUGCACAAUGGGGGGAACCCUGAUGCAGCGACGCCGCGUGAACGAAGAAAUAUUUCGGUAUGUAAAGUUCUAUCAGCAGGGAAGAAAAUGACAGUACCUGACCAAGAAGCCCCGGCUAACUACGUGCC
rnacentral:rRNA from 1 species